GUCAGCCCGUUGCUGGCGUUUGCUGUUCUCGGCACGCUAGGGUCCAUCCUCAACAGCAGCAGGGGGAUGCGCUGAGGGUAGGGGGUAAGGAAUGGGAAGAGUGUGUGAGGCCUCGUUUGGUAAGCAUCACUUCUUUUUGCAGAAAAUAGUAGUUUUCAGUGGAAGGAAAGGGGAGUUGUCAAAUAUGAACGCAAAAUCACUGCCUUUAGGUUCUACGUGCUUCCUUUCGACAAAGGUCAGGGUUUGUUUGAAAUAUAUAGAUAGUUGUACGUCUAACAAUAUAUAUAUAUUUUUCCAUAGUAUUAGUUCAGCGAGAUGGCAUGGAACUUGUUCGUUUGAAAAUUUGGGUAUUCAUGAUUAUUUUGCUACGGCUGAUGGAAAAGAACUUCUUGUGAUA